UAGGGAAUAUUGGACAAUGGGGGCAACCCUGAUCCAGCCAUGCCGCGUGAGUGAAGAAGGCCCUCGGGUUGUAAAGCUCUUUUGUCCGGAAAGAAAAGCAUUCGGUGAAUACCCGGAUGUUCUGACGGUACCGGAAGAAUAAGCACCGGCUAACUUCGUGCCAGCAGCCGCGGUAAUACGAAGGGUGCAAGCGUUACUCGGAAUUACUGGGCGUAAAGCGUGCGUAGGUGGUUGUUUAAGUCUGAUGUGAAAGCCCUGGGCUCAACCUGGGAAUGGCAUUGGAAACUGGGCAGCUAGAGUGCGGUAGAGGGUAGUGGAAUUCCCGGUGUAGCAGUGAAAUGCGUAGAGAUCGGGAGGAACAUCUGUGGCGAAGGCGACUGCCUGGACCAGCACUGACACUGAGGCACGAAAGCGUGGGGAGCAAAC
rnacentral:rRNA from 1 species